GACGAACGCUGGCGGCGUGCUUAACACAUGCAAGUCGAACGGUGAAAGCGGAGCUUGCUCCGCUGGAUCAGUGGCGAACGGGUGAGUAACACGUGGGCAACCUGCCCCUCACUUCGGGAUAACUCCGGGAAACCGGGGCUAAUACCGGAUAUGACCUCCUUGGGCAUCCUUGGAGGUGGAAAGUUUUUCGGUGAGGGAUGGGCCCGCGGCCUAUCAGCUUGUUGGUGAGGUAGUGGCUCACCAAGGCGACGACGGGUAGCCGGCCUGAGAGGGCGACCGGCCACACUGGGACUGAGACACGGCCCAGACUCCUACGGGAGGCAGCAGUGGGGAAUAUUGCACAAUGGGCGCAAGCCUGAUGCAGCGACGCCGCGUGAGGGAUGAAGGUCUUCGGAUUGUAAACCUCUUUCAGUAGGGACGAAGCGAAAGUGACGGUACCUAAAGAAGAAGCACCGGCUAACUUCGUGCCAGCCGCCGCGGUAA
rnacentral:rRNA from 1 species